CUGGCUCACAGAAAGAGUGGGUCAUCAACAUUAUCAGGCAGCUGGUGUUCAUAGCAAGCCUCACCAGACAGCUUCAGUCCAUAUCGGAUGUACAGGAUGGAGUUAAGGCUCUGCAAGGACAUCUGAUUUGAUCUGCAGUUUCCUCCCUGUCCAGUAGAGGCCUCUCUCAGAGAAAGAACAGCUUGGGGAUGCAGAUGAUGACGAUUGGAGAUCAGACACACCGCCCCCACCUCUCCUUAUCCAUGCUUAGCCUCCAACUCAAACUUUGGUUGCUCCUAUGCCCACGUCACUUCCUCCACCAA